rnacentral:SRP_RNA from 1 species
AGUCGGGCUAGGGGGAGAGUUGACGUGCUCUAUUAUUCUCAAAUCGUCGGUAAUGGAGACCCGAAGUCCGAGGGCGGCGCAGACGAGCCAUUGGUGUUUCACCGGUUAACGUCGAUGCCUCGCCCCCAAGAGAUCCAGGUUGACGGAAACCGCUUCCGGAGGGAAGCGGGGCCCAUCUAAGCCCGGGAACCAGGUCAGGCGCGGAAGCGAGCAGCCCGACCGGGGACUCUGGAUGCCUUGGGAUUGCGGGGCGGAGGAGACCGGUGAGCCUACACCUUUGGUGACGAGCGUCCACCGAGGACGCGCCCACCU